AUCUACUAGCCAUGCCUGCCACAGAUGACAGAACGUGGGUCUGAAAGUCAGGGAAACAGCCUACCUAGUUUAGUAGUCCUACUUGGUGAGAAGUGAGAGAAUAUGCAUUAUCCACCGCCGAAUGUCAAAGCAUGGUAUAAGAGUCUCUGACUUGAAUAAUUCCACUGACAUCGCAACGUUGGAUGCUGGGUGAUUACAGGGAUCCCAGGAUCUCAUCCAAAUUCUGGGUUCAGAAUGAUGCAAGGACGUCUCAGGUUCCGACGUACAAAGGUUCAGAGACUUCGUGUGCAAGAAUCCAUGCCACGUCUGGAUCCACCGGGAAUUGUCCGCACACUACAACUACAAACUGUUCGGCGUAGAUGAUAUUCUGUGCCAGCCCCCAACAGUCAAAGGCAUAGCGAUGGCAACCAUAAAGUCAUAAAUUAAAGCUCUAUAUUGGGGGACUCGGAAGGAAGUACAAAAAUAAAUUAAGACCAUAUUUUUUUCACCCAUUUUGGAACGAUAAACCCAUAUACAGUAUAAUAUAGACCAUUUUAAAUUAAGUUUAAAUAUUUCAUGCUUUUAUUAUUUAUUACGCGCUAGGAAUCUAAUUCAUUUAGAUUUGGAGUGCUUUCGCUGCCAGCCUCUCCCAGUCAAAAAUUGAUUGGAUGUCAAGCGCUGUCAAUGGCAGCCAAUGAGUUAAAUGUUGAUGUUUAUGGCUUGCAAAAAUAAGAAACCCUAAAAUUUUAUGUCUCAGAAUUACGAAAAAAAAAAUUCUGGGCCCUGCAACACAUUGUCUGUUAUUGCAGAAAUGUUGGUAUAGUUUUAGUUGCCACUUCUGGGAGAUGAUUGGAUGAAAUUUUACCCAUCAAAAUCAAAUUAUGAGGUGUGGCACGCCCUCUUUGCUUAUUGGCUCUUUGAAAAUGGCUUAACAAGUUCAACUUCAAAAGGGAUAAUGUAAAGUGCACAUUUCUAAUCAAAAACAUAACAUAAAAAAAAACAAAACAAUAAAAGCAUGAAAUAUCCCUGACCAAAAAAGUUAAAUAAAAUUAUAUAAAUGUGAACACUUUCACAGUCUAGGGCUAUGCACACACAGAUGAGGCUAAUCAAUAACUAAAUUUGCCAUAUACGAUGUGUGCAUGUUUAGUUAUAUUUUAGGACUAGUUGGUUCAACUUUAAAUUACAUAUUUGCAUUUUUAUGUGAUGGUCCACAUGGUCAUCCACCCAUGUCGAUGUCAGUCCCAGAAGUGCAGCUGCGACAGGCCUCGACUCCUGAAGAAAUUCAGCAGAUGUCAGAAUUUUCUAAUGUAUUGAAUGUCUACAACGAGACUAUCCAUCCUGCGUCAAAUAUUUGGACUUGUUUUAAAUGACAGCAUAGAAUGUUGGUUGUCGUUGAUGUGACAUUACCUCAAUAAUGUGAAGAAAUAAUAAAGGCAAUGAUUGUUUUUCUGCAAA